UACGUAGGGUGCGAGCGUUAAUCGGAAUCAUUGGGCGUAAAAGCGCGUGUAGGCGGCUCGAUAAGUCUGCUGUGAAAGUCCAGGCUCAACCCUGGGAUGCCGGUGGAUACUGUCGAGCUCGAGUCCGGAAGAGGCGAGUGGAAUUCCUGGUGUAGCGGUGAAAUGCGCAGAUAUCAGGAGGAACACCAAUGGCGAAGGCAGCUCGCUGGGACGUGACUGACGCU
rnacentral:rRNA from 1 species